rnacentral:misc_RNA from 1 species
AACUUUCAACAAUGGAUCACUUGGCUCUCGCAUCGAUGAAGAACGCAGCGAAAGGCGAUAAGUAAUGUGAAUUGCAGAAUUCAGUGAAUCAUCGAAUCUUUGAACGCACCUUGCGCUCCGUGGUAUUCCGAGGAGCAUGCCUGUUUGAGUGUCAUUAAAUUCUCAACCUCUCCAGCUUUUUGGCUGGGUGAGGAUUGGAUGUGGGGUUGUGCUGGCUUCCUUAAAAGAGGUCGGCUCCCCUUAAAUGCAUUAGCCGGAGUCUCUUGCGGUCCGUCACUUGGUGUGAUACUUCUCUACGCCUCAUGCCUGAGCUGCUCUUGUUCUGCUUCUAACCGUCCAUUGACUUGGACAAGCUUUUUGACAAUUUGACCUCAAAUAAGGUAGGACUAUCCGCUGAACUUAAGCAUAUCAAUAAGCGGAGGCU